UACGAAGGGGGCUAGCGUUGCUCGGAAUCACUGGGCGUAAAGCGCACGUAGGCGGCUUUUUAAGUCAGGGGUGAAAUCCUGGAGCUCAACUCCAGAACUGCCUUUGAUACUGAGAAGCUUGAGUCCGGGAGAGGUGAGUGGAACUGCGAGUGUAGAGGUGAAAUUCGUAGAUAUUCGGAAGAACACCAGUGGCGAAGGCGGCUCACUGGACUGGUAUUGACGCUGAUGUGCGAAAGCGUGGGGAGCAAACAGG
rnacentral:rRNA from 1 species